UUUCAACGUGGGGUAAUAGAGCAUCAACACAACAGCCAAAUAAAACCAGAGGGAGGGAUAAGUCUCUCUUCACUUUCUAUUUGACAAGCUCCUCUUUUGUUGGGAGUUCAUUCUUCUGUGAGGUCUGCACAACUGCUAGAGACAUGAAGUCUGCACUGCUGAUCAUUCUGCUCUUCAGCACCUACAUGUUCAUAAGUACGGCACAAGGCUCUUACGGUAACUGCUGUCUGGGUCACGUUUCAAAAGAAAUCAGACCAACAGCAAGGAGAAACAUCCAGAGCUACAGGCGGCAGGAGAGCGAUGGCGAUUGCAACAUCGAGGCUAUCGUAUUCUUCAUGAAGAAGAAGCCGUCGCACAAGAAACAGAGAACCGUCUGUACAAAUCCAGAAGACCAAUGGGUGCAGGAUCUAAUCAGACAUCAUGAUAGAAAUAAGGGCAUUUAGAAAACAGAAGGAAGGAAGAUAAGCGUUGGAGAAAGAAGAUAUUGGGACUAAGAAGAGCUCUGGGUCGUGUACCUCUAAGUAACCCUGUGUUCUGUUUUUGUGUACAUAUAUUCAAUAGAAUAUAACGGGUAAAUGUACUCUAAUAUAAAUACAACAUCACUGGAACUAAAUCUAUAAUCUCAGAGAUGUAUGAGCCACUGUUCGGCAGCUUGACAUGUAGCUUAUUGCUUGUUCGUCCAGAGAGUGAGACAAAGAAACAGAUAAAAAGAGGGAGUGAGAGACAUAAAGAGAGAGUAAAAGAGAGAGUAAAAGAAGCAGCAACAAAGAGAGAGGAGAGAGUGAAAGAAAAAUAGAGAAGAAGCAGAGAGAAUAUAUAUAAUAUCCAUAUGAAUUGUCCAAGAUGAGUAAGUAAUGUUUCAUAUGUUUUUGUAUGAUCAUGUACACAAAUUAACAUGUCUAUAUCAAAUAAACAAAUAAAGCACCAAUA